GGACGUGGUCCUCUUCGGCAGUCGAAUCCGUCAGUGAAGUAGGUACACCAGAUGAGGAACGGCUCGAGCGGUUAUCCACCACUGACGUCGCCUUCUGCCCAGCGUCAUGCUGCAUCGAGUGAGUUGACAUAAGCCGGGGGGCAGUUAGUUCAAGACCGACGAUCCUCGCAGGUCGCGAGGAACGCUCCUGUCGAAAGAAGAAUCGACCAUUGAGCCACUCAAUAUGCAAAAUAUAAGUACUAACUAAUAUACGCCGCCCGUCUUGUCUGAGAUGUCUGGCGCCUCGCUCCAUAGAGCGCUAACAUACACACUUGGCGCCUGUACAUGGGUACAACGCUGGAUCAUUUGCGUGAUGUCUUGCGCUUUCGAGGGCGGAAACAUAACGCAAGCUAGAAGGAAAACUUCAUUCGUGAAAAGUAAUUGGUUUGCGGCACACGAUUCGAACUAAAUUACUGCGGGCAGAGUGACCACGAUUACUUGCUUAUUCCUAACGUAACUAGCAAGGCCGCUGUCUGCUUAAAAACAGUGUAGCUAUCUGGCGCGCAGGUCAACUUCAACCUGGCUGAAGAACUCUGUAAAAUACGCUAAAGUGAUUGAGAACAAGCGCCAGCUAAGCAAGAGAGGGCAAUUACUGUUACUAGAGCGAAUAACUUCAACCGAAUUAACCCUAAAAUUUGGUACUAAUUUCUUUCGAGUGGGUUAGCUGCGACCAAGAAAUUACAUUUCAUGGUUGCAUUCGGUAUUGGGUAGUAUUGCAUUUCCAAUUGACAAAACAAUCAUAAUGCGGCAAAUUUCGGGUAAACUCUCAGUACAGGAUACCUUUUGAGGUGAAAACAAUCUAAAAUGUUUGGCUAGUUUUUUUUUAUUAUUUGAUCAUGUGGCGAUAUUUUAGGAAGUAACAUCUGAAAAGUCCUUUGUGAUUAAAUAUAUUGGUAUGGAUAUUUUUUGUGCUUUAAAAUUAAACCUCCUGAAAUAUUCAUCAUCUGUAGAUGUUCGAUCGUUAACCAACAAUUAUCCGGUACACGACUGUACUGCUUUACUUUAUACUGCAUUAAAAAGUGCAUGAUUAGUAACAUAAAAGUAUUAUUCCUAACUAUCUUGGCUACCUAUACAUCGGUUCCUUA